rnacentral:rRNA from 1 species
AGUGAACGCUGGCGGUAGGCCUAACACAUGCAAGUCGAACGGCAGCACAGUAAGAGCUUGCUCUUACGGGUGGCGAGUGGCGGACGGGUGAGGAAUACAUCGGAAUCUACUUUUUCGUGGGGGAUAACGUAGGGAAACUUACGCUAAUACCGCAUACGACCUACGGGUGAAAGCAGGGGAUCUUCGGACCUUGCGCGAUUGAAUGAGCCGAUGUCGGAUUAGCUAGUUGGCGGGGUAAAGGCCCACCAAGGCGACGAUCCGUAGCUGGUCUGAGAGGAUGAUCAGCCACACUGGAACUGAGACACGGUCCAGACGCCUACGGGAGGCAGCAGGUGGGAAUAUUGGACAAUGGGGGCAAGCCUGAUCCAGACAUACCGCGUGGGGGAAGAAGGCCUUCGCGUUGUAAAGACCGUUUGUUGGGAAAGAAAAGCAGCAGGUUAAUACCCCGCUGUUCUGACGGUACCCAAAGAAUAAGCACCGGCUAACUUCGUGC